CUUCCUGUAGUGCAAAGGAUAGCAUGUUGGACUUCUAAUCCAAAGGUAGCGGGUUCGAAUCCCACCUAAAAGG